rnacentral:lncRNA from 1 species
CCUGCAUUGGGAUGACUGCUGCAGAAGGCAUUGACUCUGUUUCAUCCCUGCACUUAUUUGGGCUCAUGUGCAAUGCUGAGCUACCCAGAGGACAUCUGUGUGAGUUCCAGCAGCAGCAGCCAAUCAGCUAAUCAUCCUUUUUCCAGUGCCAGGCGAGGUUGACUGGGACCCUGAGUUUGGUUCUACCGUUUGGAAAUAACACAGAGGAUUACUUCUUGGGGUCUCUCAGCCAACCAAAGUCACUUCUUAAGACUGGGCCUUUCUACAGAGGAAUCUUAGGAGCAGAGGCUCUUAGAUCAGAUGAGAAAAGGGUGAUGGAGAAUCUGGUUUUCCUUCUCAGAUCGUUCCUUUCAAGUCCCAUCCUAAAGACUUCACCAACGCUGAGGUCCAACUAUCCUGAUCAGAAUUCAAACCAGGUUCCCAUGAGCACUGGCUCAUCCACAAAGUUAGUAGGCUUGGUAAUGGCCAGGCCUUGAAUUCCCAGAGUCUUGGAUUGACCCAACCAGGGAGUAGUUGGAGAGACACAUGACAAGGGCCAUGCCCUGGAAAGCUGGGCCAGAGCACCUAUCAGUUGAUCACAAUUGCAGGGCAUGAGGUGAGAGAGAAAAGUAACAGAGUAACCAAGAAGUCGCCCUCCUAAGUUGGAGCAAGGUACCAAAUGACCUAAAGUAUUGGGGUGGCAGGACUGACUGUGCAGGGCACCCUGUCUGGGGCUGAUGGACUGGACAUAGAAGGAUGAGGAAGUUGUCAGCACCAGAGAGUUGAUGCUUAUCUCCAGGAGAUCAGCUGGGUGGUACGGGGCUGACCAUAGAGUUAGGACGGGUGCUUCCUCACAGGGUAGCAUGGAAGAGAAGGUUUUAUUGCAGUAAGAAAUUUAAUCCCCUGGCAAAAGCAGUAAUACCAGGAUGACUUAAACUAGCUGGUAAAGUGGGAAGGAGGGAAGGGAGAUGGAAGGGGUGAGGACAGACGGAUCAGAAUUUGUGCUUUGGGCAAGUCAUACAUACAUACGAUUUUGUGGAUUUUGUCAUGGUUAGAGGCAGGAGGGCCGUGAUCAGCAGGUUUUCACUAUUACGCGGGUCCCUAGACACAUUCUUGACUUUCAAAAUUUCAUCACAGAU